UACGUAGGGUGCGAGCGUUAAUCGGAAUUACUGGGCGUAAAGCGUGCGCAGGCGGUUUUGUAAGCCAGAUGUGAAAGCCCCGGGCUUAACCUGGGAAUGGCAUUUGGGACUGCAAGGCUUGAGUGCGGCAGAGGAGACUGGAAUUCCUGGUGUAGCAGUGAAAUGCGUAGAUAUCAGGGAGGAAUACCGAUGGCGAAGGCAGGUCUCUGGGCUGACACUGACGCUCAUGCACGAAAGCGUGGGGAGCAAACAGG
rnacentral:rRNA from 1 species